CGGAGCUAACGCGUUAAGUCGACCGCCUGGGGAGUACGGCCGCAAGGUUAAAACUCAAAUGAAUUGACGGGGGCCCGCACAAGCGGUGGAGCAUGUGGUUUAAUUCGAUGCAACGCGAAGAACCUUACCUGGUCUUGACAUCCACGGAAGUUUUCAGAGAUGAGAAUGUGCCUUCGGGAACCGUGAGACAGGUGCUGCAUGGCUGUCGUCAGCUCGUGUUGUGAAAUGUUGGGUUAAGUCCCGCAACGAGCGCAACCCUUAUCCUUUGUUGCCAGCGGUCCGGCCGGGAACUCAAAGGAGACUGCCAGUGAUAAACUGGAGGAAGGUGGGGAUGACGUCAAGUCAUCAUGGCCCUUACGACCAGGGCUACACACGUGCUACAAU
rnacentral:rRNA from 1 species